GUAGGUGGCAAGCGUUGUCCGGAAUUAUUGGGCGUAAAGCGCGCGCAGGCGGGUUUUUAAGGUCUGAUGUGAAAGCCCACGGGCUCAACCGUGGAGGAUCAUUGGAAACUGGAGAACUUGAGUACAGAAGAGGAAAGCGGAAUUCCACGUGUAGCGGUGAAAUGCGUAGAGAUGUGGAGGAACACCAGUGGCGAAGGCGGCUUUCUGGUCUGUAACUGACGCUGAGGCGCGAAAGCGUGGGGAGCAAACAGGAUUAGAUACCCUGGUAGUCCACGCCGUAAACGAUGAGUGCUAAGUGUUAGGGGGGUUUCCGCCCCUUAGUGCUGCAGCUAACGCAUUAAGCACUCCGCCUGGGGAGUACGGCCGCAAGGCUG
rnacentral:rRNA from 1 species